GACGAACGCUGGCGGCGUGCUUAACACAUGCAAGUCGAACGCUGAAGCCCUUCGGGGUGGAUGAGUGGCGAACGGGUGAGUAACACGUGGGUAAUCUGCCCUGCACUCUGGGAUAAGCCUUGGAAACGGGGUCUAAUACCGGAUAGGACACAUCGCCGCAUGGUGUGUGUGUGGAAAGUUCCGGCGGUGCAGGUUGAGCCCGCGGCCUAUCAGCUUGUUGGUGGGGUGAUGGCCUACCAAGGCGACGACGGGUAGCCGGCUUGAGAGGGUGACCGGCCACACUGGGACUGAGACACGGCCCAGACUCCUACGGGAGGCAGCAGUGGGGAAUCUUGCGCAAUGGGCGAAAGCCUGACGCAGCAACGCCGCGUGGGGGAUGACGGCCUUCGGGUUGUAAACCUCUUUCGACCGGGACGAAGGAUUCGUUUGACGGAACCGGUAGAAGAGGCACCGGCUAACUACGUGCCAGCCGCCGCAGUAAUAC
rnacentral:rRNA from 1 species